UGGUUCCCAUCAGCUCAUCACCCAGGUUGCACUUAAUCGCUGCUCCUGCUUUCAGUCCCUGCUGGAUCGUCACUCCAUGCACACGUUCCUGCCUGCCAGCCCGCCUGCCAUUCCCUCCAGUCUGCCAGCUGCUCAACCUUCCCAUCGGGACCUGCACCUCCAGCAACACAACUUCCCCCAGGACUCCCCCCCCAAAAGUUCCAAAAUAUUUAUGUACAAGUUUCUGAAGUUUAACUUGUUGUAACCUUUGGUUUUGUGAAAGGUUUUUUCUUGAUGAGUGGAGUUUUUUCUAACCAUGUCUGAGAGGUUUUGGGAUAAAUGCAUCAGAGCACUUUUUAGAAAGUGUUCCUCGUUGUAAGUAGUAAAAGAAGUGUCUAAAUGGACGAUAAAUCAGACUGUUGAAGUGGCUGGACAUCAGAAGAUAUAUUAAAGAGGCAGACUGUGUGGUGGUGGAUGUGUUUCCCUGAGCUCCUUGCUCGUGCCAUAGUGACAUAGUAAUUCUCUAAUCUCCAAUACUGUCUCGUUCUUCCCUGGUGCUUUACAUUUUCCAUUCCACUACUGGUUACAGUGUAAAAACAGAUAAAUUAUGCUUUUUGUUCUGUCUAACACCUAUAAAUUUGGACCUGUAAUAAACACUUGAGACACUUGCAAUACUAUUUAUACCCAACCCUGCAGUAACAGAUUUUUGACUACUUGGCCACCAGCAUAGAUCUGAGGGGAAGUGGCCCCUUUCGCAUCAUUGGUCUGUUGUUAUCAAAGUAUUGAUUGUAGUUGCGUUACAGAAACUGUCUACACCUUUUGACUCUCCUCCUUUAAUCAUUCAUUUGAAUACAUGUGUAC